ACAAUCCGGGGAGGGUUCCGCGGGCACGAAAACGGCUUCCCCGCGAAGGUGGCGACCUGUCUAGAGUUGUAUCCGCGGGCGCAGAGGAAGUUGAGGUAGUCCACCACCGUCAUGUCAUAUACCAGGCCAGGAUCCGCAACACGGUUCGGUUGGACGUGCCCGGCACCGUAGCUGAACGGAGAAGCGCUAAGGAAGAACGAAUCACGUAUGUUCUUCCCCGUGUUAUCUUCAGUCGUUGCUGCAACCGAGUAGAAAGCAGGAGGCACAGAUAAGAUGGAGAAGUAUGCAUAAUCUUAUGUUCAGAGCCGACUGCUUGUCGGAACUCACCGGUGGUCAUGAUCGCUGACUUGAUCGCCGCCGGGCUCCAGUCAGGGUGGAGUUUCUUGAGGAGGCCCGCGAUUCCGGCGAUGUGAGGGCACGACAUUGACGUACCAGAAAGGGCGUUGAACAAAACCCGGCGUUUAUCGAAUAGGUCACCGGAAGGACUGGUCGCUCCAGUAAAGGCUGCAAGAACGCUCACCC
rnacentral:lncRNA from 1 species